AGGCAGCAGUUAGGAAUAAUCUACAAUGCGCGCAAGCGUGAUAGUUUGAGCCAGAGUGCUUUCCUUAAUGGAAAGCUUUUGUGGAAUGUAAAAAGUUCUACGAAUAAGGACUGGGUAAGACUAGUGCCAGCCGCCGCGGUAAUACUAGCGGUCCAAGUCGCAGCCACAUUUAUUGGGUCUAAAACAUCCGUAGCUUGCUUAAUAAGUUUCUUGUGAAAUCCUAUGUCUUCAGCAUGGGGCGCGCAAGAAGUACUGUUAAGCUAGAGACUGGAAGACGUAGGAAGUACGACUAAAGUAGUAGUAAAAUGCUUUAAUCUUAGUCGGACUUACAAUAGCGAAGGCAUCCUACGAGGACAGUUCUGACAGUAAGGGAUGAAAGCCAGGGGCGCAAAACGGAUUAGAUACCCCAGUAGUC
rnacentral:rRNA from 1 species